AUAUGUACCUUUUAAAUGUUUAAAAAUAUUAAUGAAAUUUCGUAGAAAAAGAGUAUAUAUUAAUUAUAUAAAACAAACAGGAAAUAAUAAACAAUAUGUAAUGGUAGCACAUAAGAUGAAGGGUAAUAAACUAUGUCUAAAUUAUUAUAUGAGAUAUGAUUGUAUUUUAUAAUAUGUAGAUCAUUAUUGAUGAAAAUGUAAUAAAUAACAUGUAAUAAAUUACAAUUAAUAAAGAAAUAACGGUGACGUCGGGGAUUACUUCUUGCCUUUGAACUACGGUCAAAUUUAAUAUAAAAAGCCAAAAAUAAAGAGCAUUCUAAGACAGAUGCAAUCAGAUACUUACAGAGGCACUCACUACGCUCGACCAUUCCACACUACGAAACAUAUGCAAGAAGUGAUCCGCCGUCAACACAGUUAUAUUUGUUCACAAAAUACAAAAUCUAUUUAUUUAAGAGUAUAGCAGAAAAUAUCGAGGAUAUCCACUGCACACUCAAAUAGCCACCGGAUGUCUUUUGCAAUGACUGAGAAACAAUAGGUGGCUUGAUAUUUUAUACAAAAUCUUAGACACUAUUUUACCAUCCUCUGAUGAUUACACAGAUUCUGACAAAUCCUUAAUCUCACUGCUUCCAAUACAACAUCUCAUAGAAUAAAAAUCUUAUCAUGAAAUUGUUGAACUUAAUAACUUUUAUAUGAGGUCGAACCAAUUAUGUUGGACAUUCUUCGACCAUAGAUGUUUUCUUCAUACAUAAGACUUAUGAUAUGCUAUUUUCACUUUUAAUCUCAACACCAAUAGUGACUUCUGUACCGAUGUGACUUUAUGAUAAAAGUAUUGAUGUUAUUGUUUGUACUAAAAAAUUAUAAAUAUUGUAUAUUUUUAUUGU